rnacentral:rRNA from 1 species
UAAUACAGAGGAGCCAAGCGUUGUCCGGAUUGACUGGGCGUAAAGCGCACGCAGGCGGACGCGCGCGUGGGGUGUGAAAUCUGGCCGCUUAACGGCCAGGCGCCAUCCCAUACGGCGCGUCUGGAGGCUUGCAGAGGUCGAUGGAAUUGCCGGUGUAGUGGUGAAAUGCGUAGAGAUCGGCAGGAACACCCAGGGGGAAACCAGUCGACUGGGCAAGUGCUGACGCUGAGGUGCGAGAGCGUGGGGAGCGAACCGGAUUAGAUACCCGGGUAGUCCACGCCGUAAACGAUGGCCACUCGGCCUUUGGAGGCGGAAUCUCCGUUUCUGGGGGCCUUAGCUAACGCGGGAAGUGGCCCGCCUGGGAACUACGAGCGCAAGCUUA